rnacentral:rRNA from 1 species
GACGAACGCUGGCGGCGUGCCUAACACAUGCAAGUCGAACGGAAAGGCCCUGCUUUUGUGGGGUGCUCGAGUGGCGAACGGGUGAGUAACACGUGAGUAACCUGCCCUUGACUUUGGGAUAACUUCAGGAAACUGGGGCUAAUACCGGAUAGGAGCUCCUGCUGCAUGGUGGGGGUUGGAAAGUUUCGGCGGUUGGGGAUGGACUCGCGGCUUAUCAGCUUGUUGGUGGGGUAGUGGCUUACCAAGGCUUUGACGGGUAGCCGGCCUGAGAGGGUGACCGGCCACAUUGGGACUGAGAUACGGCCCAGACUCCUACGGGAGGCAGCAGUGGGGAAUAUUGCACAAUGGGCGGAAGCCUGAUGCAGCAACGCCGCGUGCGGGAUGACGGCCUUCGGGUUGUAAACCGCUUUCGCCUGUGACGAGGCGUGAGUGACGGUAAUGGGUAAAGAAGCACCGGCUAACUACGUG